UCCACCCUGUCAUACAACAACAAUAUAGAAAUAGCUGUUAAACUUGUUCAUUUCAUUGAUAACUUUAAUUUCCUUAUGUACAUCCAGCAUUAGUAGUUGUUGUGUCUGUACAUUAUUGUUGUGUAAUUCUUGCAGUUGAUUGACACCUGUGAUGUAGGUUGUUCUGAAAGAUGACGUAUUGGUUGCAUAACUGUGUCUUUCAAGAAUGUACCAGAAAAUUCAUUCUUAUUAUAAAUACACCGUGAAUUUUGAAGAUGUUAAGUGUGUUAGACAAGCACUUUACAAAUUCGGAUUAUAUUACUGGGACAUAGGAUUAUUGACGAAUUUCACUGGAAAAUGAACAGCCGACUUGUGACUGUUUUGUAUGUAGAUAUUUUAUAAAAUAGUUCUCAGUUUUAUUAGCCGUUAAAAAAAGUGGAUUUACACCUGGAAUAACAUUGUUUAUUUUGAGACGUUAACAGAGGUGUAAGUGAGAGCAAGGAACGACAACUCUGGGUAGAGAUUGUCGCAUUAGCUGCAAAAACACUUAAGUAUAUGCUCUCACUCGAAGGCGCUAGCAAUAAGAUUAAAUUACAGAAUCUGUAUAACAGGGGAUUUCACUUGAUCGCAUUCAGGGAUUUUCAUAGAAACAACUUGUGCUGUCAUUAUUGUCUAGAUCUCCCUUUACAUUGGCUUCCUAUUGACAGGCGCAGCCAAUACAAAAUUAUCCUCUACGCAUACAAGGUGACACCAAAAUACUUGAAGGAGGUGAUCACUGUUUACCAACCGAAUCGUUCCCCGAGAUCUGAAAAUUCACUGACAUUCGUUAGACCAAGAUGUCGAACCUCUGCAUAUGGAAACAGGCGCUUGGAUGUGGCAACAGCUACUCUGGAACUCUCUGCCGUUGUCAGAAUUGAACACGUUUAAAAAACAUUUGAAAACAAAUCUUUUUAGACUUGCAUAUUAUUAGUAUUAUAGGUGGUUAAAAUUUCAUAGUUUCUUUACCAUCAUUUUAACAUGACUUUUACAAGUGUAUAAUUGUAUAUUUAUUUCAACUAUUGUAUUUUAUAUCAUCUGAUUGUACGGCGUGGAACUUUUUUCAUGCAUAUCAUGUUUUAGAUUUUAGUAAUUUUACUUCACAAUAUUGAUGUUUUUCUAGCAUUGUUUUGAUAUUAUCUGUCUUAAUGCUAUUAUAAUUUCCUUUUACUACGUUUAUAACAUGCUGUAUCAUUUGUAUUGUGUGCAGCGCUUUAGAGUGGUUAUUUAGUCAUAUAGGGUGCUAUAUAAAUGAAUAAAUAUUAUUAUUGAGCUCGAAAUAAAGGACACCACAGAGUCGUCCACUUCUGCUUCAUACUUAGAUAUUUUAUUGAAAGUAGACAUUAACGGCAAACUGACAACUCAACUGUAUGAUAAACGGGAUGAUUUCAGCUUCUCCAUCGUCAACUUCCCAUAUUUGUGUAGCAAUAUUCCAUUAUCACUUGCAUAUGGUGUUUAUAUAUCUCAACUGAUUCGAUAUGCAAGAGCUUGUUCUGGGUAUAGUCAGUUUUUAAAUCGAGGUAAGCUACUGACAAACAAGUCUCGAUUGAAGUCAGCAUUUCGCAAAUUCUAUGGUCAUUAUAACGAUCUAGUUCGUCAAUACAACCUCGCAUUGGGUCAAAUGCUGUCUGACGUGUUUCAUACCGAUUGUUAAGCCGUUCUUGGCACACUGAUUUUGACUGCGGAUAACUCCGUUUACCUGAUCAGGAUAUAGGGCUCACAGCGGGUGUGACCGGUCAACAGGGGAUGCUUACUCCUACUAGGCACCUGAUCCCACCUCUGGUGUGUCCAGGGGUCCGUGUUUGCCGAACUAUCUAUUUUGUAUUUCUUGUAGGAGUUAUGAGAUUGAUCACUGUUCGUUAUCUUCACCUUGCAUUAUCUUGUUUUUUGUUAUCAUUUUAUAGAAUGAUUUUAUUUAUUGUCGUCUAAUCAAUGACAAUAUUUCACACAAUACAGGUGUUAUGUUAUGUUUGGUUUGAUGCACCAUAAGUAUAUGGAAAUUUGCCAGAGCACCAAUAUUACAUAAAGUUUUAUUCGUAAACCAGAUAACAUACAUGUAUAUAGAAGGACAGAGAUGCAAAAAAUAUAUGUGAAGACUUUCACUCCACCUGCUGCCAACUUAGUAUUUACAUAGAGUGCUUUGUCAUCUCUACCGUUUGCUCCCAUUAAACUUGUAUGUACAUUGUAUUGUAGGCUCAUCAUUGACAGAAUUAUGUCCGUCAGGGUUUGUUUUUAAUUUACUUUGGUGUCUUAGAUUUCGAUUUCAACUUUGGGAACUGAUCUUCCUCACAACUUUACACUUGGUAAAUCGUCGUGAUUGUUUGUUUGUUUAUUCGUGUAGUAGCUCAUAUUAAUACAUAAAUACACUAACACUACCAAGAAAAUGAUUACGUGUUUAAGACUAUUUCUAUCAGUUGAUACAUGAAAUAAACCAAUGUGAUUCUGAUUAUUCGCUAAAACAAUAAAUUUUAAUGCUUAAAUGUGAUCGCUUUUUACUGACAUUCAUUUAAUGUAAACUUUCUGAUACUGAUAAAUUGAAUGAUUUUAACUAUAUUAUUAAAGCUAUUAACGUUGAUCAAUAACCAAUUUUCAAUAUAGUAUGUGUUAUGUUUCGUGAAUCGGGGGGGGGGGGGGGGGGGAGGUAAAGAGAAACCUAUAUUUGAUUUAUUUACCUUUACUUAAAAUUCCAAGGAGCGGAUCCAGGAAUUGCGGUUAGAGGGGCGCAACUUUAUGAGGCAGGGGUUCUGGAACCGCCUUGAGUCCCCAAGUGGAUCCAGGGUUAAGCCCUGGUGGAGGCCAAGGGACGGGGCGGAGCUCCUGCAUAUUAGAUAUAUUUUAGAGGGCUUGAUAUAUAUCUCCUAUGCAGUAAUUUUUAUGAUUUUCUUUCAUUUCUAAUAAGGUGAAAUUACAAAAAUGACGCAAAUUUUAAAGGUUUUUUUUUGGGGGGGGGGGGGGGGAGUAAGUUCUCCCAAUAAAAGUAAUUCAAUAAAUCAAAAGAUUUUGUUAUUUAUUUCUCCAAGAGUGGAAAGGAAUUUUUGCCUCUUUUAUCAUUUACAUUUUUCUAACCAAGAGACUACGAUUUAUCCUGAAUUUGAAAAUUUAGGGGCUAAUGAUUAAUGGGUGUAAUAUGAUAUCAUAUCUUUAUAUUAUAUCUUGACCAUGGUUUAGCUGACGUCGCUGUACUUUUAUUCAUGCCGAUCUGAAUUAUCUCCCUUCUCUAAAAACUGUUUGAUUUCCACAUAAGAUUUCAUAAAAUCAGACGUAGCUUGUAAAGUAAACAUGUACAUCUCGCAAAUUAAGAUUUCCACGGUCUCGAUUGUCAAACAAAGCAGAACAGCGGUCCACUACCCGUGUUACUGCACGUGAGAUUUACACGUAUUUCAUAUAUUUUCACUCAAAAUUAGCAUCAUAUACAUAUCUUUUAUUUCAUUACAUUAUGCAUUCAUACAUGUACAAUGAAUUUUUUUAACUUCUAAAUUCAAAACAUAGACUGCCUAUAUAAUGUUUUGAUAUUACAUAUAAUUUAUGUCUAUAUACUGUUUAAAUAUUGCAUAUAAUAUAUACCUAUAUAUUGCUCUGAUAUUACAUGUAAUAUAUACCUGCAUAUUUUCUUGAUAUUACAUAUAAUGUAUGCCUAUAUACUGUUCUGAUAUUACAUAUAAUGUAUGCCUAUAUAUUGUUCUGAUAUUACACAUAAUUUAUGUCUAUUUAAUAUUCUGCAUCAUAUGUAACUUACCUCUUCAUUGUACAUCUAUGACACAAUACAUGUAAGUGUUACAUUGUUAUCUUUCAAAUCUCAAUGCUUUAAAGUUUUGUAAACUGUCGCAAAGUAAUGACUUUUUUUUAAUUCAUACCUAAUCAUGAAUUUCAUUAUUAAGAAAAUAUCUAUUUGCUUAUGAUUAUUUGCUAUUUUCUACAGGUAGUAAUGACAUUGAAUACGGCUGGUAUCAAUCAGGCAGAUGGAUUAUCCUAUCAGCUUGGCGUCGGUUGAAGAACACCUUUCUGAACAAUGGGCCCGUUAACAUGCAAAACUAAAGCUGGCCAAACAAUGAAAUCUACUCUGUUGCCUUGCUUUGUGUACAAUCUGAACAAAUUUUUAUCAAAAUCUUCAUGUUGUGCCGGUCCAAAAUGGAGCAACAUUGGAGGGUCCUGUAUUGCCAUCAUCCAGCACAGCUGCAUGCAACGGUCCAUGUAUUUCUGUUUAACUUCGUUGUCUGCAAAUUCUGAUCUGGUUGUAAUCUGCAAACAACAAUAACCCUAUCAUCUUAUGAUGUAGGAACGAUAUAUUGUUAUUUGUGGGAUUUUUGCAUUGUUACAACUUAUACCAGAUUUAACUUAUCAAUGAAAUGGUCAUUCUUGUAGCUUUUGAAGGGACAAAACAUGAAUAAUAUGUACUAACGAUUGUGUUCUUUACAUCGGAUAGAGCAAUUGACGCCGUCUGUUUUUGAAGAUCGACCACCUUGGACAUCACCUUCUCAGGUGUUGCAGCAUCCUAGUAGUCAAAAAACAUUUUCACCUUUACUUCCAAUGUACAUUCUUAUCACCUGAGCAACACAAAGCCUAUUAGCUGCAAAGUCGGAAACAGGAUGUGACAGUAUUUAUGAUGAUGUGAGUUGUACCUGUGAUUGCUCUUCGGAUCUGGAAGGUAGUGUGAUGACCUGGAUCAGUCUGUGUCUCUGAGCUUUGGCAUAGUGUUGACAGCAAUUGUAAACCUCCUUU